AUGUUUUCUGGGAAGACUAGUAACACAUAUUCACUCCACGGAAUAGUUAAUGAGUCUCUGAAGCCGAAGUUCAACCUCUUUGUCAAGCAGGUGUCCGCCAGCAUUGGGAUGGCAGAGCCACACAUUGAUAUCAAGUCUGUCAUUGCCUUUACCAUGUUUCUUAAAGCCUUUGGUGGUCUCCAUUUCAUCAUCAGCAGCUCGUUCGGAGCGGUCAUACUGCUUCUGUAUUUGAUCUUCAUAUAUUUUGCUUUUGCAAUAUCCUGUUUUAACAUCUGA
rnacentral:rRNA from 1 species